ACCUGGUGGGGUGGAGACCGAGGAGUCAGAAAUGCCCAUUUGUCCUCUCCUUUCUUCAUCAUCAGUCUCACUCUUCUAAUUUCUCUCAUCUUCUUCCUCUUUUCUUUUCUUUGGUUUUUUUUUUGUUUUUGAUUCUGGCCGAGAGCAACAACAAGAACAACAAGGGUGGCAAGCAAGAGAACAACUUACCUUUAGAUUUGAGGACAAAGAGGCCUCCAGCAUCAAGCUCCUGCUUUUGAUCAUUUCCAGUCGGUUGAAGAUUAUCAGCAACUUCUCUUUCUGAUGCUAUGGAACUUGGAUUCCGAGACGAAACCAUGAUGAUGAUCUCUUUCUCUUUAUGGGCUUUGAUGGAUUGUCGGGUAUAUGGUCUGAGGGAAGGUUGCAGAAAUUACAGUUUCUAUGACAAGUUUCAUGAGAUCUAUGUUCUCGACAGAGAGGUCUCUAUACUGAGCUGACGAACAUUAAGAUUUGUUAUCUAACAUUCGGUGGUUAGUUAAGUUUGGUCAGCUUUUGCUGCCACAAUUGUUGAAGAAAAAAAUGAGGAAGAAGACGAGAAGUAAGAGAAAGUAAGGGUUAAGAGAGAGGGAGUCGGAUGGCUAAUGAAAGCAGUGGAGAAAAGGGUAUCCGGUACUAUCACUGAAAAGUUGGGAGCAAGUAACAAAGGGAGAGGACGUCUCGAGACUGGAGUGGUUGGGUUGGUGGAGCCGUUCCUGAUUUCCUGUGAAGAGUCUGAAGACCAAUGCACUACCAAAUAAAGGAAACAGAAAGCAAGGUCACGUGCGGGAAGUAAAAGAAUAAUGUACUUUUGCAUUUGACCAAAAGUGACUUAGUAAAACGUUUCACCAAUGUCAGCCGAGGUGAAAUAAGCCAAACUUUAGCAGCUGAACAAACUUCCUCCAAUGAAACAAGCAAAUUGCAGCCGAGCAGAAAUAAGCUGAACUUCCACGUCCAAGAAAAUAAUGUACAUCAAAUGGGUUCUGCUGUACUAUGUUUGCACGUCCAAGAUGAUGAUGGAGAUUUAAAGAAUGCUAUUUUGUGAUGUCUUGGCGUUUAUCAGCUCAACUUCCACAACCUAAACAUUCAAGAUUAAAAUUAAACUUGUCUACUUUUCGUGUUUAGAAUGCCUGUAUAAUUAGAACUUCUUUCCAGCAUUACUAAUUUUCACUAAUAUGCCUGUAUAAUAUAGUUCCGUUUUAUGCUUCCA